AGGUCAAGCAAGAAAGAGCACGAGGUGAAUGCCUUGGCACUGGGAGCCGAUGAAGGACGUGAUAAGCUGCGAAAAGCUUCGGGGAGGCGCACAUAGCCAAUGAGCCGGAGAUAUCCGAAUGGGGGAACCUGCCUAAGAAAACCUUAGGUAUCUGUAUGUAAAUCCAUAGCAUACAGAAGGGAACGCUGUGAACUGAAACAUCUAAGUAGCAGUAGGAGGAGAAAGAAAAAUCGAUUUCCUAAGUAGCGGCGAGCGAAAGGGAAAGAGGCCAAACCAGGAGACAAAGUUUUCUGGGGUUGAGGACUGUGUAAGGUAUUGAAURGAGAUAGUUGAAGUGUUUUGGGAAAGCACACCAAAGAAGGUGAAAGUCCGGUAAACGAAAUUGAAAUUCAGCCGACAGUAUCCAGAGUACUACGGGACACGAGAAACCCUGUAGGAAGCCGGGGGGACCACCCCCCAAGCCUAAAUACUCCCCAGUGACCGAUAGAGAAGCAGUACUGUGAAGGAAAGGUGAAAAGGACCCCGGGAGGGGAGUGAAAGAGAACCUGAAACCCCGUGCUUACAAACAGCCAGAGGGAAACUGAUGGCGUACUUUUUGUAGAACGGUCCGGCGAGUUACAANGGGGGACCACCCCCCAAGCCUAAAUACUCCCCAGUGACCGAUAGAGAAGCAGUACUGUGAAGGAAAGGUGAAAAGGACCCCGGGAGGGGAGUGAAAGAGAACCUGAAACCCCGUGCUUACAAACAGCCAGAGGGAAACUGAUGGCGUACUUUUUGUAGAACGGUCCGGCGAGUUACAAUUACUAGCGAGGUUAACUGUUAAUAAGGCAGGAAGCCGAAGGGAAACCAAGUCUGAAGAGGGCGAUAUAGUUAGUGAUAGUAGACCCGAAACCGGGUGACCUAUCCAUGUCCAGGUUGAAGGAACCGUAAAAGGUUUUGGAGGACCGAACACACAUCUGUUGAAAAAGGUGGUGAUGAGGUGUGGAUAGCGGAGAAAUUCCAAUCGAACUCGGAGAUAGCUGGUUCUCCUCGAAAUAGCUUUAGGGCUAGCCUUGAGAGAAGUCUAACGGAGGUAAAGCACUGAACUGACGCGGGUCCCAAAAAGGAUACCAACUCAUAUCAAACUAAGAAUGCCGUCAAGAUAUCCUCAGGAGUCAGACUACGUGAGAUAAGUCUCGUGGUCAAAAGGGAAAGAGCCCAGACCGACAGCUAAGGUCCCGAAGUGUAUGUUAAGUGGGAAAGGAUGUGGGAUUUCAAAGACAACUAGGAUGUUGGCUUAGAAGCAGCCAUACAUUAAAAGAGUGCGUAACAGCUCACUAGUCGAGAGAACCUGCGCCGAAAAUAAACGGGGCUAAAACAUACCACCGAAGCUACGGAUUUCCUACGGAUGUAGGGAGUGGUAGAGGAGCAUAGUGCAAAAGGAAGAAGUCAAAGCGAGAGCAAUGAUGGACGAAGCAGUAGAGAGAAUGCCGGAAUGAGUAGCGAGAUAGAAGAAAGAAACUUCUAGGCCGAAUAUCUAAGGGUUCCUGGGUAAAGCUAAACUUCCCAGGGUAAGUCGGGGCCUAAGGCGAGGACGAAGGUCGUAGUCGAUGGAUAACUGGUAGAAAUUCCAGUACUACAAAUAAUCAGAACUGUGGGGACGCAGGAGGAUAGGUAAACCGGGGAAAGGAAAAACCCGGUCAAGCAUAAAGGUAUGUCAGAUAGGAAAAACCGUCAGACUGAGCUGAAAUGUGAUGAGGACUGAAAAAGAGUAAGGAAGUUACUAAAUCCACACUGUCAAGAAAAGCCGCUAUAGCAUUAUUUGUACCCGUACCGUAAACCGACACAGGUAGAUGAGGAGAAAAUCCACAGGCUGACGGGAGAAGUGUUGUUAAGGAACUCGGCAAAAAGACCCCGUAACUUAGGGAGAAGGGGAGCCAGUGAGAGCUGGCCGCAGAAAAGAGGCUCAAGCGACUGUUUAGCAAAAACACAGGUCUCUGCGAAACCGAGAGGUGAAGUAUAGGGGCUGACACCUGCCCGGUGCUGGAAGGUUAAAAGGAGAGGUAAGGCGUAAGCUGAAGCUUUGAAUUCAAGCCCCAGUAAACGGCGGCCGUAACUAUAACGGUCCUAAGGUAGCGAAAUUCCUUGUCAGGUAAGUUCUGACCCGCACGAAAGGUGUAACGAUUUGAGCACUGUCUCAACAACACGCCCGGUGAAAUUGAAGAACCAGUGAAGAUACUGGUUACCCGCAACAGGACGGAAAGACCCCAUGGAGCUUUACUGCAGCCUGAUACUGGGAUUCGAUGAUAUAUGUACAGGAUAGGAGGGAGGCUAGGAAGCGAGUACGCUAGUAUUCGUGGAGCCGCUGGUGGGAUACCUCUCUUAUAUCAUUGGAUUUCUAACUUGCAUCUGUGAACCAGAUGAAGGACAAUGUCAGGCGGGCAGUUUGACUGGGGCGGUCGCCUCCAAAAGAGUAACGGAGGCGCUCGAAGGUCACCUCAGAAUGAUUGGAAACCAUUCAAAGAGUGUAAAGGCAAAAGGUGGCUUAACUGCGAGAGCGACGGUUCGAGCAGGUACGAAAGUAGGACUUAGUGAUCCGGUGGUAAUAAGUGGGAAUGCCAUCGCUCAACGGAUAAAAGCUACCCUGGGGAUAACAGGCUUAUCUCCCCCAAGAGUUCACAUCGACGGGGAGGUUUGGCACCUCGAUGUCGGCUCAUCGCAUCCUGGGGCUGAAGUAGGUCCCAAGGGUUGGGCUGUUCGCCCAUUAAAGCGGUACGCGAGCUGGGUUCAGAACGUCGUGAGACAGUUCGGUCCCUAUCCGUUGUGGGCGAAGGAUAUUUGAGAGGAGCUGUUCUUAGUACGAGAGGACCGGAAUGGACAUACCAAUGGUGUACCAGUUGCAUACCAAAUGCAUAGCUGGGUAGCUAAGUAUGGACUGGAUAAACGCUGAAGGCAUCUAAGCGUGAAGCCACCCUCAAGAUAAGAUAUCCCAAAACGCAAGUGAGUAAGGUCCCUUGAAGACAACAAGGUAGAUAGGUUGGAGGUGGUUCGGUCCCUAUCCGUUGUGGGCGAAGGAUAUUUGAGAGGAGCUGUUCUUAGUACGAGAGGACCGGAAUGGACAUACCAAUGGUGUACCAGUUGCAUACCAAAUGCAUAGCUGGGUAGCUAAGUAUGGACUGGAUAAACGCUGAAGGCAUCUAAGCGUGAAGCCACCCUCAAGAUAAGAUAUCCCAAAACGCAAGUGAGUAAGGUCCCUUGAAGACAACAAGGUAGAUAGGUUGGAGGUGUAAGUGCAGUAAUGUAUUAAGCUGACCAAUACUAAUAGACCGAGGGCUUGACCUAG
rnacentral:rRNA from 1 species